ACAUUCACAAAAACAAACACAAAAGGCCUUGAGAAGAUUUUCAGGCUAGAUAUUUUCCUGCUGUAUUACCUGAGAGACAACCCUAGGGCACUUAAAGUCUUACAGAAACAACUCUCUUCUAUCAACUGCACAGUGGAGUUCGAUCUAGAUGAAGAGGAGGCAGUGGUUAGGGGGGAUGUUGAGAAGGGGUCUGGAAGCGCCUUCAGUGCUGCAGAGAACUGGGAGAUAGAAGUGGAUCGCGUCCUCAUCGGUCUUACUGAGCGCUACCUCUGCUAUCACGUGCUUGAGCCAAAAAAUUUAAAAAUCCUAUUGCAGGACCGCUCUUUUGUGACUGAUGAUAUCAAAGUGUACACAGAGAGCAGUUAUGCUGUGGUUGUUGGAGAGGUUGAGGUUGUAAAUCAGAAGAUUGCAAUCCUGGAAAAGAGCCUGCCAACCAGGAAAGAGUUACCAGUUGUUGAGAAGCAACUCCAACUGAUAGAAGAAGAGUUUAAUCGAGAAAUCCACGCAGAUUGCCCAGAGGUUAAAGUCCACAGAGGUAACGCCAUGAUCAUCCUGGAGGGACCGGACAAUGAGGUGCAGUCAGGAGCUACAAAACUUGAUGAACUGAUCAAAAAGGUACAGGAAAAGAGAGUUAAACUGCCUACAGCUCUACUUACCUUCAUAACAUCCAGCGGUGCCAUCUCCAAGUACCAGGCUCGCUUCAAGCAGAGACUCAGAAAUCCUGUUCUCCUAGAGGUGGGGUCAGAUCUGGUCCUGUCCAGUUUGUCCUCUGAUGCCCUUGAUGAGGCUAUGGCAGCACUGUCGAGAGACUUGAGCGUGGACAAUGUGCAAAUACAGGGAGCUGCGGCUGUACCUCCAGAUCUCGACAAAGUGAAAGAAAUUCUGAUCAAAGCCAAGAACGAGGCAAACUGUCGAGAGCUCAGAGUGGAUGUCAGCUUCAUCCCAGACCCCAGCAGUACCGCAGCCAUCAAGGUACGACUGGUGGGCUACAGUGAAAAUGUGAACAAGCUCAAAGAGGUUCUCAAUGACUACCAGAUUAACCAGGUUUGGACAGAAGAAGUACUGACCCUGCCAUAUCCUGAACUGGUUGACUGUUUUGAUAAAAUCUUAAAAAUGAUUGGUGUGAAGGACACCAAGGUGACCAUUAAAGCCUCAAAUAUUCCAAACCCCUGUGUGCUUGUGUCUGGCCCCCGCUGUCAGGUCCGGGAGGUCCAGGCAGACUUAAACGCAACUCUAGCCAGUCUGUUAUCAGAUACUUUGGUUCUAGAUGGACCAGGGGCUCAGUUGUACUUCCAAGCAGAGGGUAAAAUGAACAAAGAUCUGAUAGAGAGCUCCUGUCAGGUCCUUAUCAAGGAACAGCGAGGUGUGUCCUCAAAUGUGAAAACUAAAACACAAAGCAUUAGGUGCCAGAGCAACCCCGUGUCUCAAAGGCCCCACCUCACUCCUUGGAGCACUACAGUCAACAAGACAAGCUUGGAGAUCAAGCUCUGCAAUUUGGUGGAUGAGCAGGCGAAUGUGUUGGUGGUCCCAAUGCUCAAGAAGCAGCUAAAGUCUACUAAUAUUGGUAAAUGCCUGUUGAAAAAAGCAGGAAAUGCAAUCAAGUCAAACUUUGAGUCGGUGGCAGCGAAUUGUACCAUUGCUCCUGGUGAUGUUCUGCAGGUGGCUGGGCCUCCAUCUCUGGGCUGCACCAAGCUCUUCUUCAUUGAAUGCUUGCCAUGGGAUGGAUUCAGAGGGCAGAGUGUGCAGGUAAAGUGAAACACAACUCUACAAAAUUAAAAUCUGCUCUCUAUGCUGGUUUAUUUUGCAAAUUCUUUAAAACAAUGUGCCGUGCAGGGGUAACUUUGAAAACACUGUGGAGAUGUCUGAUUUUUGUCAUUUUGUAGGCACUUAGCAAUGGGCUGAAGAAGUGUUUGGACCUCUGUGUACAGCAGCAAGUGUCCUCAGUGGCAUUUCCAGUUAUCGGACCUGGAAUUGUUUUAAAAUUCCCGCUGAGGGAAGCCAUUCAAGUGCUGACUGAGAGAAUUCAUCAGUUUGGAUUGUCUGCAUCCUCUGGGCCUCUCUCCACCAUCCACAUCGUCAUUAAACCAGAUAAUCCUGAUUCCGAGGAGGUGACUGUCAACAUUUGGAGAGCUGUUGCAAUUGGUUUGGACGAUGCAUGCUUGCAAGAUUUAUUGAUGAGUGUUUAAUGCUGGUGUUUUUUUUUACAGAGCUACCAUGAAAUCUACAAGCACCUCAGCUCAAAUAUGAACCAGGGAGGCCAAGGUAAAUUAGACAUUUCUGUCAGCAAUUCAAUAU
rnacentral:lncRNA from 15 species